rnacentral:rRNA from 1 species
CCUACGGGUGGCAGCAGUGAGGAAUAUUGGUCAAUGGGCGCGAGCCUGAACCAGCCAAGUAGCGUGAAGGAUGACGGUCCUAUGGAUUGUAAACCUCUUUAGGCGGGGAGCAAUGCCGGGCACGCGUGCCCGGAGGGAGAGUACCCGCAGAAUAAGCAUCGGCGAACUCCGUGCCAGCAGCCGCGGUAAUACGGGGGAUGCGAGCGUUAUCCGGAUUUGUUGGGUUUAAGGGGUGCGUAGGCGGAUUUUUAAGUCAGCGGUAAAAUGUCCGGGCUCAACCCGGGCCGGCCGUUGAAACUGGGGUUCUUGAGUGGGCGAGAAGUAUGCGGAAUGCGUGGUGUAGCGGUGAAAUGCAUAGAUAUCACGCAGAACUCCGAUUGCGAAGGCAGCAUACCGGCGCCCGACUGACGCUGAGGCACGAAAGCGUGGGGAUCGAACAGGAUUAGAUACCCGUGUAGUC